rnacentral:tRNA from 1 species
GGAAUGUGGCUCAAGUGGUAGUGCGCUCGCCUGGCAUGCGCGCAGCCCGGGUUCGAUCCUCAGCACCA